rfam:Fomitiporia mediterranea MF3/22 unplaced genomic scaffold FOMMEscaffold_17, whole genome shotgun sequence.
GGGCGUUUAGCUCAGUUGGUAGAGCGUGCGCUUCGCAUGCGCAAGGUCACGUGUUCGAAUCGCGUAUCGUCCA